rnacentral:rRNA from 1 species
UACGUAGGGUCCGAGCGUUGUCCGGAGUUACUGGGCGUAAAGCGCGCGCAGGCGGCCCGGCAAGCAUGGCGUGAAAGCCCCCGGCUCAACCGGGGAGGGUCGUCGUGGACUGCUGGGCUUGAGGGCGGUAGGGGUUGGUGGAAUGCCCGGUGUAGUGGUGAAAUGCGUAGAGAUCGGGCGGAACACCCGUGGCGAAGGCGGCCAACUGGGCCGACCCUGACGCUGAGGCGCGAAGGCGUGGGGAGCGAACGGGAUUAGAUACCCCGGUAGUCCACGCAGUAAACGAUGCCGACUAGGCGUGGGGGGACUUGACCCCCUCCGUGCCGGAGCUAACGCGGUAAGUCGGCCGCCUGGGGAGUACGGCCGCAAGGCUAAA